UGGAAAACAAGACAAAAGCAUAUGCCCCUGGGAUGAGUUAUUUAUGUUCAGAAUUAUUUAAAAAUUGUUGUUUUUGUUGUUAUUAUUAUUAUUAUUAUUAUUAUUUGUGUGUGUGUGUGUGUGUGUGUGUGUUGCUGGGGAUGGAAACCAGGGCCUCACACAUACUAGGCAAAUGCUGGACCACUGAGUUAUGUCCUCAUCCCCAA
rnacentral:sRNA from 1 species